UAGCGAAAUUCCUUGUCGGGUAAGUUCCGACCCGCACGAAAGGCGUAAUGAUUUGAGCGCUGUCUCGACAAUGCACCCGGUGAAAUUGAAAUACCAGUGAAGAUGCUGGUUACCUGCGCCAGGACGGAAAGACCCCAUGGAGCUUUACUCCAGCUUGAUACUGGGAUUCGAUAUUGCAUGUACAGGAUAGGUGGGAGACUUUGAACUGGUGACGCCAGUUGUCAGGGAGUCACUGUUGGGAUACCACCCUUGUAGUAUUGGAUUUCUAACCAGCAGCCGUGAACCGGCUGGGGGACAAUGUCAGGUGGGGAGUUUGACUGGGGCGGUCGCCUCCGAAAGGGUAUCGGAGGCGCUCAAAGGUUCCCUCAGAAUGGUUGGAAACCAUUCGAAGAGUGCAAAGGCAGAAGGGAGCUUGACUGCGACACCGACGGGUGGAGCAGGUACGAAAGUAGGACUUAGUGAUCCGGUGGUAUAAAGUGGGAUUGCCAUCGCUCAACGGAUAAAAGCUACCCUGGGGAUAACAGGCUUAUCACUCCCAAGAGUUCACAUCGACGGAGUGGUUUGGCACCUCGAUGUCGGCUCAUCGCAUCCUGGGGCUGAAGUAGGUCCCAAGGGUUGGGCUGUUCGCCCAUUAAAGCGGUACGCGAGCUGGGUUCAGAACGUCGUGAGACAGUUCGGUCCCUAUCCGGCGUGGGCGUAGGAUAUUUGAGAGGAGCUGCCCUUAGUACGAGAGGACCGGGGUGGACUGGCCGCUGGUGGAUCUGUUGUAUUACCAAAUGCAUGGCAGAGUAGCCAAGCCGGGACGGGAUAAACGCUGAAGGCAUCUAAGCGUGAAGCCCCCCUCAAGAUGAGAUAUCCCAUAACGUCAAGUUAGUAAGACCCCUUGAAGACGACGAGGUAGAUAGGGCAGAGGUGGAAGUGCGGUAACGCAUGGAGCUGACUGUUACUAAUAGGUCGAGGGCAUAACCAA
rnacentral:rRNA from 1 species